ensembl:lncRNA
GUGCUGAAGGCCCUGGGCUGGUGGAGGAGCUGGUGGCGGGCCUGCCUGACCAGGACUCUGUCUGAGGAGAGCUGCUGGAGGAGCUGAGACGCUGGAGGACGACUAGGAAUCGACCAACAAGGAUUCCUCAACGUGUUUCUGGAGCGGAGGCGAGCUGGUAGGGGAGCCGUGAAUCUGGAGGAUGACCAUCACUCUACCAACAAGGAUUACCAGGAAUCUGGAGGACUGAUGGAGAAGCCGUACAUCUGGAAGGCAAAUCCUGAGGACCACCAGGACUCUACCAUCAAGGAUUCCUCAUAAAUUUGCAUUAUCUGGACAUAGUGGACUAGACACACCUGAGCUGAACCUCACCUGAUCCUGUUUGGUCGGGGGUAGACACACCUGAGCUAAACCCGCCCUGAUCCUGACAUCCUGCUGGUCCCGUCUCCUCAGUUCAUCUGAGCCUCGUCCUCCAGAAGACCUGCUGAGCUCAGCAGUCUGAGGCUGAUGGAUCAAUGACCUCCAGUGGGAGUGAUCUUCUUGACCCCACAUGUAACCGUGUGCUUCCACACGCCUUUCCCUCACGUCUGUCACUAACCUCACUACUUCACUACUCUCUACUGCUUCC